rnacentral:rRNA from 1 species
AGUGAACGCUGGCGGUAGGCCUAACACAUGCAAGUCGAACGGCAGCACAGGAGAGCUUGCUCUCUGGGUGGCGAGUGGCGGACGGGUGAGGAAUACAUCGGAAUCUACUUUUUCGUGGGGGAUAACGUAGGGAAACUUUCGCUAAUACCGCAUACGACCUACGGGUGAAAGCAGGCGACCUUCGGGCCUUGCGCGAUUGAAUGAGCCGAUGUCGGAUGAGCUAGUUGGCGGGGUAAAGGCCCACCAAGGCGACGAUCCGUAGCCGGUCUGAGAGGAUGAUCAGCCACACUGGAACUGAGACACGGUCCAGACUCCUACGGGAGGCAGCAGUGGGGAAUAUUGGACAAUGGGCGCAAGCCUGAUCCAGCCAUACCGCGUGGGUGAAGAAGGCCUUCGGGUUGUAAAGCCCUUUUGUUGGGAAAGAAAUCCAGCUGGCCAAUACCCGGUUGGGAUGACGGUACCCAAAGAAUAAGCACCGGCUAACUACGUGCCAGCCGCCGCAGUAA